CUAGUAAUCGUGGAUCAGCAUGCCACGGUGAAUACGUUCCCGGGCCUUGUACACACCGCCCGUCACACCAUGGGAGUCGGUAACACCCGAAGCCUGUAGUCUAACCGCAAGGAGGACGCAGUCGAAGGUGGGAUUGAUGACUGGGGUGAAGUCGUAACAAGGUACC
rnacentral:rRNA from 1 species